rnacentral:rRNA from 1 species
UAAUACGAGGGGGGCGAGCGUUGUUCGGAAUUAUUGGGCGUAAAGGGUGCGUAGGCGGUUCGGUAAGUUUUGUGUGAAAUCUUCGGGCUCAACUCGAAGCCUGCAUAAAAUACUGCCGGGCUUGAGUGUGGGAGAGGUGAGUGGAAUUUCCGGUGUAGCGGUGAAAUGCGUAGAUAUCGGAAGGAACACCUGUGGCGAAAGCGGCUCACUGGACCACAACUGACGCUGAUGCACGAAAGCUAGGGGAGCAAACAGGAUUAGAUACCCUGGUAGUCCUAGCCCUAAACGAUGAUCGCUUGGUGUGACGGGUACCCAAUCCCGCUGUGCCGUAGCUAACGCGUUAAGCGAUCCGCCUGGGGAGUACGGUCGCAAGGCUG